UUCUGUAAGCCUGUGAAGGUGUGCUGUGAGGCAUGCUGGAGGUAUCAGAAGUGCGAAUGCUGACAUAAGUAACGAUAAAGCGGGUGAAAAGCCCGCUCGCCGGAAGACCAAGGGUUCCUGUCCAACGUUAAUCGGGGCAGGGUGAGUCGACCCCUAAGGCGAGGCCGAAAGGCGUAGUCGAUGGGAAACAGGUUAAUAUUCCUGUACUUGGUGUUACUGCGAAGGGGGGACGGAGAAGGCUAUGUUGGCCGGGCGACGGUUGUCCCGGUUUAAGCGUGUAGGCUGGUUUUCCAGGCAAAUCCGGAAAACUAAGGCUGAGGCGUGAUGACGAGGCACUACGGUGCUGAAGCAACAAAUGCCCUGCUUCCAGGAAAAGCCUCUAAGCAUCAGGUAACAUCAAAUCGUACCCCAAACCGACACAGGUGGUCAGGUAGAGAAUACCAAGGCGCUUGAGAGAACUCGGGUGAAGGAACUAGGCAAAAUGGUGCCGUAACUUCGGGAGAAGGCACGCUGAUAUGUAGGUGAAGUCCCUCGCGGAUGGAGCUGAAAUCAGUCGAAGAUACCAGCUGGCUGCAACUGUUUAUUAAAAACACAGCACUGUGCAAACACGAAAGUGGACGUAUACGGUGUGACGCCUGCCCGGUGCCGGAAGGUUAAUUGAUGGGGUCAGCGCAAGCGAAGCUCUUGAUCGAAGCCCCGGUAAACGGCGGCCGUAACUAUAACGGUCCUAAGGUAGCGAAAUUCCUUGUCGGGUAAGUUCCGACCUGCACGAAUGGCGUAAUGAUGGCCAGGCUGUCUCCACCCGAGACUCAGUGAAAUUGAACUCGCUGUGAAGAUGCAGUGUACCCGCGGCAAGACGGAAAGACCCCGUGAACCUUUACUAUAGCUUGACACUGAACAUUGAGCCUUGAUGUGUAGGAUAGGUGGGAGGCUUUGAAGUGUGGACGCCAGUCUGCAUGGAGCCGACCUUGAAAUACCACCCUUUAAUGUUUGAUGUUCUAACGUUGACCCGUAAUCCGGGUUGCGGACAGUGUCUGGUGGGUAGUUUGACUGGGGCGGUCUCCUCCUAAAGAGUAACGGAGGAGCACGAAGGUUGGCUAAUCCUGGUCGGACAUCAGGAGGUUAGUGCAAUGGCAUAAGCCAGCUUGACUGCGAGCGUGACGGCGCGAGCAGGUGCGAAAGCAGGUCAUAGUGAUCCGGUGGUUCUGAAUGGAAGGGCCAUCGCUCAACGGAUAAAAGGUACUCCGGGGAUAACAGGCUGAUACCGCCCAAGAGUUCAUAUCGACGGCGGUGUUUGGCACCUCGAUGUCGGCUCAUCACAUCCUGGGGCUGAAGUAGGUCCCAAGGGUAUGGCUGUUCGCCAUUUAAAGUGGUACGCGAGCUGGGUUUAGAACGUCGUGAGACAGUUCGGUCCCUAUCUGCCGUGGGCGCUGGAGAACUGAGGGGGGCUGCUCCUAGUACGAGAGGACCGGAGUGGACGCAUCACUGGUGUUCGGGUUGUCAUGCCAAUGGCACUGCCCGGUAGCUAAAUGCGGAAGAGAUAAGUGCUGAAAGCAUCUAAGCACGAAACUUGCCCCGAGAUGAGUUCUCCCUGACUCCUUGAGAGUCCUGAAGGAACGUUGAAG
rnacentral:rRNA from 1 species